AUGCAGGCUGUUCAGCGAGGCUAAGUCUAACACGUGACUUUGUCCUUUCCUUUAUGUCUGCUAGAGAAACUCGGGGUGGUUUGAGGCCUGACGGUGUUCCUCCACUGUCAGGUUAUAGAAACCUUGUACAAAU